rnacentral:rRNA from 1 species
CAGCAGCCACGGUAAUACAGAGGGUGCAAGCGUUAAUCGGAAUUAUUGGGCGUAAAGAGCUCGUAGGCGGUUUGUCGCGUCUGCCGUGAAAGUCCGGGGCUCAACCCCGGAUCUGCGGUGGGUACGGGCAGACUAGAGUGAUGUAGGGGAGACUGGAAUUCCUGGUGUAGCGGUGAAAUGCGCAGAUAUCAGGAGGAACACCGAUGGCGAAGGCAGGUCUCUGGGCAUUAACUGACGCUGAGGAGCGAAAGCAUGGGGAGCGAACAGGAUUAGAUACCCGAGUAGUCCCUGUCUCUUAUAU